rnacentral:misc_RNA from 1 species
GGAAGUAAAGUCGUAACAAGGUUUCCGUAGGUGAACCUGCGGAAGGAUCAUUAUUGUAUAACCGAGGUGCGAGGGCUGUCGCUGACCCGAAAGGUCGUGCACGCCCGAGUGCCCUCACACACAUCCAUCUCACCCCUAUGUGCACCACCGCGUGGGUCCCCCUUUGGCUUGUUCGGAGGGGGGCUUACGUUUUCACACAAACUUUGUAUGCAGUGUAGAAUGUAUUUUUUGUUUUUGCGAUCACGCAUUCAAUACAACUUUCAACAACGGAUCUCUUGGCUCUC